GAGGAAAGCUGGCGGUAUGCUUAGCACAUGCAAGUCGAACGGUCACUUCGGUGAUAGUGGCGGACGGGUGAGUAACGCGUGAGAAUCUGUCCUCAGGUCGGGGACAACAGUUAGAAAUGACUGCUAAUACCGGAUGUGCCUUUGGGUGAAAGAUUUAUUGCCUGAAAAAGAGCUCGCGUCAGAUUAGCUAGUAGGUGGUGUAAGAGACUACCUAGGCUCCGAUCUGUAGCUGGUCUGAGAGGACGAUCAGCCACACUGGAACUGAGACACGGUCCAGACUCCUACGGGAGGCAGCAGUGGGGAAUUUUCCGCAAUGGGCGAAAGCCUGACGGAGCAAUACCGCAUGAGGGACGAAGGCUUUUGGGUCGUAAACCUCUUUUCUCAAGGAAGAUGAUGACGGUACUUGAGGAAUAAGCAUCGGCUAACUCUGUG
rnacentral:rRNA from 1 species